GUCUCCGAUGUUGACAAUGAAAGCAUUUGGCAGCGGUGUGAUAGGAAUCCAUUUUCCAUCGUUCUUGAUCUGGAGACCUUCUACUUCAUUGAUUUGUAGCAGAAUGGUAAGAGCAGAGCCAUCAGAAUGAGGGGUGAGGCCCAUAACCUUCUCCGGCUGAGGACAUGGAGGGUAAUAGUUCAUCCUCAUUGAUUGGAAACCAUUGUCAAAGAAUUCUCUCAAUUCUUCAUCUUUGAUAUUUAAAACUUUUCCCAUUUUCGAUAUCAGGUUCAUGGCCAGAGAUUUUAACUCCAUCGAGUAAACUUCCAAGGUGUCUCUACAAGAAAAAAGAAGAUAAAGCAUUAGAUAGAAUCAUAGAAGGUUUAAUUUGCUCUUUUUGUUUGCAAAUCCAUAUCAAGCACAAACAGAGAGAACCUGAGCAAAGGAGGAAGCUUAGGAAAUAAGUGUGGCUUCCUCAGAUGAACUGGAAGAGUGAUCACGGAGAAAAUGUCAGCCCAAUCAAGCUUUUGUUCCUCAGAUACAACAAAGGCUUGUCCAAAUCCUUCUACAUCUCCUGGAUGCUGCCAAUAUUUUUUCUUUUCUUCCAUGCUGAGAUUGAAGAAGCCCUUAACCUCUUUCUUCACUUUCUCUAGAAAUGCUGAGCUUACUCCAUGGUUUACCAGCUGAAAUUACGCAGGAAUGAACAGCAGCUAAGAUUUGAUAAUCGUGCCACUAGGUUCACAAUCGUCCAGGCGUUUUAUGAAGACAGAUUGCAACUUAUUUGACUAAUUUAGAGACAAGAUUUGCUAUCAAAGAUGGCUAAAAGCAUUUGUUACAUUUCAACUGAGAACAUUGCUGUUGCAUUAAACACCAAUUUUAUUUUGUUUAUAAAUCUAAUCAAUGAUUGAUUUUUACAAGUGUUUUUUACUCAUAGUUUUGGAGAAAUUUGAAUAUUCUAGAACAGCUAAUAAUCUGCGGGAGUCUUAUACAAUUUACUAUAUCUUUAAUCACAUAUUGACAGAAGCAUAUUUCUCAUAAGCUACCAAAAGCUAUUGAGACAAAAUAGGUGAACUUUGUCAUGGGCAUCUUUUAAUACAAAUUAUACUAACAAAUCUAUGGCUAUAUGGAAAGGUAAAGUAAUAAAGAAAGUAAAAAACAAAUAUAUCAAUGGAAUCUGGGUUUCAGAAAUAAAUGGUGAGUGUUUUCUUCUCAUAUCGCCUCAUAAAUUGUACAAUAAAACAAGAGACAACUUCCUUGACAUUUCACAAGCUGCAGUCCUAGAAGCACUGAAAGCAGCAAAAGGACUAGAUGGGAAAAUUUGAAAUCAUGACAUGCUAAAUCAAUGGAAACUGGGUUUCAAAAAUAGAUAUUUUGUGACUGAGAGUUUUGCAGAUUUCAUGAUUCUUAAAUCACAGACAAGCAUGAAAAAUCUUUCUAACUCUGCUAAAGCAUUUUACCUGGAAAAAACCCCAUUCUUUGCAAGCGAAGUCGAGCUUGGCUAACUCAGAAUCCAUUGAUUCUUCAGAAAGCAAGCUCUGCAUGUCAAUAACUGGUAUCUGUGAAAUCAAAGUAUCAUCAGAAUUGAGUGGUGAAUCUUCGUCCGGACAAAUGUAUCUAGGAGGGACAACUAACAUAGGAUUCUUGACCAACUCUUGAACACAAGGAACAAGCAGAGAACCUCCAAUCUUGGCCAUCUUUUGUUCCACAAAUCCUCUUAAGAUUGCUACAGCUUUGUAUUGGUUUUGGAACAAGAGUGCAGGGUGCAGACAAUCGCAAGAGUUGAAAACAAUUAUUUUCUAACAAAUCAGCAUCCUCCACCUAACCGCUCAUGAUAUAUUUUUAUGCAAAUGACUGAUCUGGAUUAUUUUAAGGGGACCAUUCAACAGCAUGGUAAAAUAUGGGCAGGAAAUAGACCGUCAUUGAUAAUCAUAACUAACAAAUCAGCUAGUCGAUUAAUUAUUAGUAAUUCCCAUAUUACCUUAUACAUUAAUAGUACUAACGGACGAGCCGUCACCUCGUUCACCUUUUGACUCCGGAUCAUCCUGUUCGUAUGCUUCUUACAUGGUCUGAAGGAAAAAUGAAAAUUCUAGAAAUAUUUUUCUUAUUGAAUUCAGCAGCGGAGUAAUCGAGUAUUGGAUCAUGUUAAUGGUCAGAAGAAAUCGCAAGCGGAAAUCCUUAUCUGAUCACAGUAUAAAUGCCCUUUUUAUGGAUUGUUCAAUGUUCUUAAUUUUAAUCUUCACGAAGAAGAGAAGAAGAUGAUACCAGGAUUGACUUAUAAAAAGUUAUAUGGAACUUACACAAUUAGAAAGAUUGAAGAUUCUUUCAUUUUCCAUUUUGAUUACCAAGCACGCGUGGUAUGAUACACGUGUUACGAUAAAUUUUCCAUUCCAGGACUAUAGAUCUUAGUCUAGUCACUCUUUUAGAAUGAACGCUGUCUUCUAGCGUAAAAAGUAAGAUCUCACAUCUAGCUUCAAUCAAGUCUCCAUGAUGGUGGGGUAUAUCAUAGUCAGUCUAUAAUGAAAAUCGUGUGAGACCUCUUGAUUCUAGUCAAGGCAAAAAAACUUGUAGAAUAACGCUUUUUAUUUGGCUCUCACACAAAAAUAUUGUUUUAUUAUUCUACUUGUCUCAUCUCAUCUUGCUCCUAAAGCAAUUGAGGUGACCGCUUGUGUAAAAAUACUAGUAUGGACCUGACGACAUACUCUUAUAUAUGUGUAAUUAUGUCUUUCAUGGAAUAAAUUGAAAUAAGAGAUACUAUUACAUUUUCAAACAACUUAUGUAAUGAAGAUGUUUAUAACAAAUAAGUACAUCUUAAUAGUAGUAAUUUAUAAUCUACGUAGCCCUAAUGAUUUAGCAUGAUAGGCGAAUACAUCCCUUAUUACAGCUUUGGUAAGUGGAUCAGUUAUCAUGCUCUGUGUAGAUAUAUAUUGUACGGCUGACUACUUCUUUCUUUGCCAAAAUAUCUCUUACAAAAUUGUAUUUAACUCAAUGUGUUUCGAUUUGGUAUGGUAUUUAGCAUCAUUAGAGAAAGGGAUAGUAGCUUGAUUGUCACAAUAGAUAGUCACUAGAUUAUCAUUACUAAUAUUAAUCUCUAAGUUCUCUAUAAAUCUCUUAAGUCACAUAACUUUUUGCACUACUGCAGAACAUGCAAUAUAUUCGGCUUCCACCAUUGAUAAAGUCGUGCAUGUUUGCUUCUUGCUACUCCAUGUAAUUGUUCCUCUAUUUAGCAAGAAUACAUAUCUUGAAGCCGAUUUGCGCUAAUCCAGAUCACCACCCUAGUCGGCUUCUGAAUAUCCAACAAGCCGCAAACCACCUCCUUGAUAGCAUAAACAAUAAUUUGCAGUGCAUUUGAGAUAUGCUAAAAUCCUUUUAACAGUACUCCAAUGCCUCUGACCAGGAUUAGACUGGUAUCUACUUACUAGUCCUACAACAUAACUAAUAUCAGGCAUUAUACACAUUAUGACACACUUAAGACUUCCAAUGGCAUUUGCAAAAGGAACUCUAGUCAUUCUUUCUUUUUCUUGAGGAGUCUUGGGACACAUAUCGAGACUAAAAGAUUGUCCUUUAGCUAUAGGGGUAUCCUUGUGCUUACAAUCAGCCACAUUGAAUCUUUCAAUGAUUUUCUUAAUGUAAGACUCUUGUGACAGAGCCAUAAAUUUCCUUGAACGAUCCUUAAAAAUUUUGACCCCUAAGAUAUAAGUUGCUUCGCCGAUAUCUUUCUUGUCAAAAUUUGAAUGUAGCCAAUCUUUAAUAAUUUUGACAAACUCUUUACUAUUUGCUGCCAAUAAUUUAUCAUCCAUAUACAAAGUCAAUAUUGUAAAAGCGUCUUUAUAUCUCUUAAUGUACACACAAUGGUCUUCCUUAACCAUCCUAAAGCUAAGAAACUAUAGCUUGAUAGAAUUUAAGGUUCUAUUACAAGUGGGCAUAUUUUAACUGAACCUAUCCAAACCGACCAUUUGGAUCGGUUUCAUUAGUAAAAAAACUAGUUUUGAUUUAUUGGAUUGCAAACCGACAUCACUCGAUUUGGAUUUCGGCAAACCAAUCCAAUCUAGAAAAUUUAUAAAGCUUUAAGACAUAUGAUGUGUCAAUUUAUUAUUGGAUUAUUAACAGAAGAAAUGUACACUUUCAUACACAAUAGCAUACUUCUUAUUAUAAAAACAAAAACACAAAAACCUAAUUGUCCAACACUCACAGCUGCCUCAACCUCCAGUGCCUCCUAUCAUUCUCAACUCUCUCAAUCUCAAUCGCUCAUUCUCAAGUCUCAUAGUCAUAAUUUUAAAAAUGGGAACAACGGUAAUGUUCACGUAUACGGUACUAUUCACAAGAAACGGUGGAAGCGAUCCAAGAAUUUUGCGAUGCAAAGCAGAGAAUAGUGGUGUGAGUAAUAGCAACUAUGUGGUUUUGUACAUGUCUAGGAAAGUUCUAUCACAAAGGCGAUAAGAGCUUAAUGAGUCUGGGUUUUAAGUGGGACCAUUGUGACCCCUCCAGUCUUUCCUGGGAACUUUCCUGGUGUGCAUUCUCACACAUACUCACAACUAUUCAAGGUGGUACACUAGCUUGUGUGCGGUAUUUAUCAACAAAAUGGUGGCAAAGUAUGAAAUUGAGAAGUUUAACGGAAAUAAUUUUUCAUUGUUGAAAAUGAAGAUGAAAGCUGUAUUGAGGAAAAAUAAUUGCUUGGCAGCAAUUGGGUUGGGGAUUGCUGGAAAGUUUGAUCAGGAGGAUUGUAGGAAGAAUGUAGUUAUGUAUUUUAUUCUUAAUAAGGUUUCAUUUAGGAAGGUAGAGUCUUAUAGGUUUCAUCUUUUGUGAGAUAAACUUUAUCCUAGAUUUGGCCCUCCUUCGAGGGGAACACUUGUUAGAGAUAUAUAUCAACUGUAUUUAGUUGAGAAUGCAGCAUUCAAAAAUAUUUUUAUUGCAAAUAAGUAUAGAGUUUCUAUUACCACAAACAUUUGGACUUCCAUAAAAAAUUUUAAUUAUAUGUUGUGACAACCCAUUGGGUUGAUCAUAAUUGGAAAUUGCAUAUGAAAAUUUUGAAUUUUUUUUUCCAAAUAACAAGCGACAAAGGGGACUUAAUCGGCAACCUUAUUAAAAAAUGCUAACUUGAUUGAGGUAUAGAAAAAGUGAUGACUGUUAUAGUUGAUAAUGUGAGUGCUAAUGACGUUUCUAUCAAUUAUUUGAAAAAAAAAGUUGAAAAAUUGGAAGGGUGAUGCAAUGACUUUAGAUGGAGAUUAUUCACAUUUGUGGUGUUGUGCCCAUAUUGUUAAUAUAAUUGUGACUGAACGGCUGAAAGAGAUGCAUGACUUAAUUACUAGCAUUUGCAAUGCAAUUAUAUAUGUGAGGUCUUCUGGUUUGAGGUUGCAUGUUGCAGGUUUUCUAAUGCUAUUGAUGUCAAUGUGCAAGUGUACACAAUAAGUAAUAUAAUGAUGAAUAUUCAAGAUUGUCUCCAUAGGUUGUUAUAGGAAUUGCUACAACAAUUUUAUUAGUGCAAUUUUUAUUAUAAACAAGAAUUAAAACAAAUUAUUAAACUAAUGAAAUAAUAAAAAUAAAAACGCAAUGAGAAAAACGCAAUAAAGUAAAAUACCACAGCAAAUACAAGGAUGUUCCCAAGGGGAAUGGAGUAGUUGAGCGAUUAAACUCACUUAAUGGUUUUGACUAUUUUUCUAAUGUUGGCUCGAUUGCUAUAGCAUUUGCUACAGCACUGGGCAGAAUCCUUAUGUAUUGUCAGUUGUCGCAUGUUGGAUAGCUUAUAUCUAAAUGCAACUUAACAGUGACCAAUUGUUAUGCUAACAUCAUAUAUAACAUUACACAUUUUAGAUUCUAAUUACCCUACAAGGUGAAUCCAUAUAUCUAGUUCAUCACUAAUUUUAUAUUAAGCAUAACCCUUUUCAAAUCAAGUUAAACCCAACUCAAGAAACCCAAUCUAAAACCACGUAUUGAUUUGAUAUGUUCCACUAAGACAAGUCUUUUUUAGGUUCUUUCUUAACUAGUAUCACUAAAUNNNNNNNNNNNNNNNNNNNNNNNNNNNNNNNNNNNNNNNNNNNNNNNNNNNNNNNNNNNNNNNNNNNNNNNNNNNNNNNNNNNNNNNNNNNNNNNNNNNNNNNNNNNNNNNNNNNNNNNNNNNNNNNNNNNNNNNNNNNNNNNNNNNNNNNNNNNNNNNNNNNNNNNNNNNNNNNNNNNNNNNNNNNNNNNNNNNNNNNNNNNNNNNNNNNNNNNNNNNNNNNNNNNNNNNNNNNNNNNNNNNNNNNNNNNNNNNNNNNNNNNNNNNNAGUAAUUGAGGACGGAUAAUGGUGGAGAGUAUACAGACGGCGAGUUUCUUGCUUUCUGUAAGCAAGAAUGUAUUCAGAGACAGUUCACUGUAGCAUACACUCCUCAACAAAACGGAGUGGCGGAGCGGAUGAACAGAACUCUUACAGAAAGAAUAAGAGCUAUGUUGAGGACUGCUGGUCUACCCAAUUCAUUCUGGGCAGAAGCAGCCAAAACUGUUUGUUAUAUAGUAAAUCGGUCGCCAUCUACAGCUAUUGGGCUGAAGACAUCGAUGAAGAUGUGGAUUGGAAAGCCAGUUGAUUAUUCCUACCUACAUGCAUUUGGAUGUCCUGUGUACGUGAUGUACAAUGUAUUGCUUUGAUAUGUUCCACUAAGACAAGUCUUUUUUAGGUUAUUUCUUAACUAGUAUCACUAAAUGGGUGGUCAACCGAAAUAGUAAAUUGAAAUAAGUAUUAUCAAAACAACGUGCUAUAGCAAACAUGUAGCAACACAACAAAUACAAGGAUGUUCCCAAGGGGAAUGGAGUAGUUGAGCGAUUAAACUCACUUAAUGGUUUUGACUAUUUUUCUAAUGUUGGCUCGAUUGCUAUAGCAUUUGCUACAGCACUGGGCAGAAUCCUUAUGUAUUGUCAGCUGUCGCAUGUUGGAUAGCUUAUAUCUAAAUGCAACUUAACAGUGACCAAUUGUUAUGCUAACAUCAUAUAUAACAUUACACAUUUUAGAUUCUAAUUACCCUACAAGGUGAAUCCAUAUAUCUAGUUCAUCACUAAUUUUAUAUUAAGCAUAACCCUUUUCAAAUCAAGUUAAACCCAACUCAAGAAACCCAAUCUAAAACCACGUAUUGCUUUGAUAUGUUCCACUAAGACAAGUUUUUUUUAGGUUCUUUCUUAACUAGUAUCACUAAAUAGGUGGUCAACCGAAAUAGUAAAUUGAAAUAAGUAUUAUCAAAACAACGUGCUAUAGCAAACAUGUAGCAACACAGCAAAUACAAGGAUGUUCCCAAGGGGAAUGGAGUAGUUGAGCGAUUAAACUCACUUAAUGGUUUUAACUAUUUUUCUAAUGUUGGCUCGAUUGCUAUAGCAUUUGCUACAGCACUGGGCAGAAUCCUUAUGUAUUGUCAGCUGUCGCAUGUUGGAUAGCUUAUAUCUAAAUGCAACUUAACAGUGACCAAUUGUUAUGCUAACAUCAUAUAUAACAUUACACAUUUUAGAUUCUAAUUACCCUACAAGGUGAAUCCAUAUAUCUAGUUCAUCACUAAUUUUAUAUUAAGCAUAACCCUUUUCAAAUCAAGUUAAACCCAACUCAAGAAACCCAAUCUAAAACCACGUAUUGUUUUGAUAUGUUCCACUAAGACAAGUCUUUUUUAGGUUCUUUCUUAACUAGUAUCACUAAAUGGGUGGUCAACCGAAAUAGUAAAUUGAAAUAAGUAUUAUCAAAACAACGUGCUAUAGCAAACAUGUAGCAACACAGCAAAUACAAGGAUGUUCCCAAGGGGAAUGGAGUAGUUGAGCGAUUAAACUCACUUAAUGGUUUUGACUAUUUUUCUAAUGUUGGCUCGAUUGCUAUAGCAUUUGCUACAGCACUGGGCAGAAUCCUUAUGUAUUGUCAGCUGUCGCAUGUUGGAUAGCUUAUAUCUAAAUGCAACUUAACAGUGACCAAUUGUUAUGCUAACAUCGUAUAUAACAUUACACAUUUUAGAUUCUAAUUACCCUACAAGGUGAAUACAUAUAUCUAGUUCAUCACUAAUUUUAUAUUAAGCAUAACCCUUUUCAAAUCAAGUUAAACCCAACUCAAGAAACCCAAUCUAAAACCACGUAUUGUUUUGAUAUGUUCCACUAAGACAAGUCUUUUUUAGGUUCUUUCUUAACUAGUAUCACUAAAUGGGUGGUCAACCGAAAUAGUAAAUUGAAAUAGUAAAUUGAAAUAAGUAUUAUCAAAACAACGUGCUAUAGCAAACAUGUAGCAACACAGAAUAUUAGUCAAUUAACCAUCAAGUUUGUUCAUUAUUCAACCACAAAUAAAUUUAGUUCAUAAUUUGGGAUAAAACAAGAAGUAAAAUAGUUUCAGCCAUCAAACAAUUCAUCAUAACGAGAUAGAAACAAGAGAACAAAAAAUAAGAGUGAGAUCCGCUUGAUGUUCUUCUCGAAUUCCUUAGUUGCAGCCCUCAAUUCUCUCUCUUGAUCUUUGUUUUUUCUUGUGUUGUUUAUCUAUUUUUCUUCUCCAAUGACGGCUCCCUUUUCUUUGCAUGUGUGCUCAUUUUGUAGCUUAAAAUUAGGGCAACUGGAAGCCUAGAAUGUGCAUCUUCUAAUUUAGAAAACUCCAGACCGCAAACUUCAAAGUAUCUCGCGUAAAAUCUUCUCUGUCAAUGCUCCAGAAAAUCUAUAACAACGAUGCUACAACAACAGUGCUACAACAAUGGCUUCAGCAUCUACACUGUUCCAGACUUGUUUCAAUUCUUCUCUAAUUACGUUCUUUCCUUAUCUUUACAAGCCUAUUGCAGCCGUAUUCCUUUCUUGAAAUUUGAGCUUCCGGUCACUUACAAUUAUGCAUAUGAUUUAAGCAUACAAUUUAUUCUGAAUCAAACAAAACUUAUUAAAAGUAAACUAAAAUGGAAUGUUUAUUCAAAACAUUACUAAAAUGCAAUAAAAACAUGUCAUUUACUCUCUAAGUAAUCAUGAUUUAAGUCUCAAAGUGCCAUGAUAACUCUCAUUUCAUAGAGUUAUCAUUAUAAAUUUAAAUCAUGUGUUGAGAGAGAGAAAAUUGAAUAUGAAGGGCUUUUAGCAUAUCAUGUGCCCACUAGAUGGAAUUAUAUCUACACUAUGUUGUCCAUAGCUAUACACUUUCAGAAAGCUUUUGAAAGUCUGAAAGAAGAGGAAUGUGAUGGACCAUAUAUGAGUUUUUUCAAUGAGAGGAAAGCAGAACAUAUCAGGCCACCCACAACUGAAGAUUGGAAAAAUGCUGCAAUAUUUAUCGAGUUUUUGAAAUUUGUGAAUAAUGGUAUAGUUGAAUACAGUGCUUUAUUAUUUGUCAUGUCUAACUUGUAUUUUCAUCAUCUUUGCACCAUUCAAACCUAGUUGCAUUCAUUCAUUGAAAAAAAAAAGAGGUGCUUCUUAGUAAAAGGGCAUAAAAAAUGAAAAUAAAGUGUGACAAGUAUUGGGGUUCUGUGGACACUAUACAUCAACUAUUGAUCAUUGCUGUGGUACUUGAUCCAAGGUAAAAAUCUGUUAUUUCAUUUGAAUUUUUAUUUUUUAUGAUAAAAUCAAUUGUGAUAAUUAUUUACUCUAAUUCAUUUCAUAUCUAAGGUACAAAUUUGAUUAUGUGUCAUUUUGCUUUGAAAAUUUGCAUAAUCUUGAGAAAGCGAAAGAAAUUACAUCAAACAUUAAGAAGCUACUUUUAAAGGUGUAUUCUUAAACUUUCAAAUUAGAUUCAGUUAUAACAAUAGUUACUUUUUUCUUUUUUUUUGUAACUGUAUUCAUAUUUACUUAAAUUUAUGUUCAUAGCUAUGUAAAACCUAUUGUCUUGUAGAAUCUACUUCUGGUGAUGGUAGCCAAUCUACUAAUGAUGUUUUGGCAAUUGAUGUGGGUUUAAGAAGGAAAAGUGGCAAGGACUAUGCAUUUAUUAAUACAAAGACUCAAUAUAAGCAGUUAAAAGUGCAGAAAGAUUCCAUUGAUUUGAAAAAUGAGGUAGAAAGGUAUUUGUUCUAACCUAGUGAGGAUGAAACUGAUGAUUAGUUUGAUGUUUUGAGUUGGUGGAUUGCAAAUAGUGCAAGGUUUGGGACUUUGUCACAAAUUGCAAAGGAUAUGUUAGCAAUUCCUGUAUCUACUGUGGCUUCUGAACCUGUUUUUAAUACUGGAGGUCGUGUAGUCUAUGCAUUUCGAAGUUCAUUAACCCCUACAAUGGUAGAGACUUUGAUAUAUAGUCAACAAUGGCUUAAAGCAUCUGGUAUGGAUGAAAAAAUUAUUAGGAAGUUUGAUGUAGAAGUAUUGUCAUCAUACUUUAGUGAUUUGGAAUUAUGUACGUCUGUGGAGCAAGGUACCUAUGCUUUACAUAUAGUAUAAUUAUAUUAUUUUCUAAGUUAAGCAAUCUAUCAUUUUGUCAUUUUAUGCAGAUUUUGACAAAUCAAAAGUAAUUGGGCCAUAAGUUUUAAAGGACAAGAUGCACGAUAUUUUGAUUGUCAAAUGUUGUUCAAGUUUAUUUUAAUUUUGUGAGUUUGUUUUGAAUGAACAAGUUGAGAACUUCUUUAUUAGGAUGUAUUCUGUUGUGAACUUGUAUGGAUGUAUCUUUAAAUUGUUAUGUAGAUAUGAAUAAUAUAAAAGAGAUAUCAAUUUGGAUUAUGGAUACAAAAAAUAACAAAUAAUUUAGGUACAACAAUAUAAAAGAGGUGGGCUUUUAGCUAAUAAUCUCAAACCAAGAAAAAAACCAAUCUAGUUGGUUUGGUUUAAAAAAAAUUUAGGUCGAUAUCAGUUUGGAUCGGUUUGAUAAUUUGUCUCAAACUGAUCCAAACCAAAUUUGCCUACCUCUCAGUUCAUUAUCUAGAGAAAUGCAAUAUUUACAUCCAUCUGAUGCAAUUCAAGGUCUAGAUGUGCAAUAAUGACCAAAAUUAAUCGUAUAGAAGCAAACCUUACCAUAGGAGAAAAGGUUUCUUUAUAGUCUAUUCCCUCCUUUUGGGUAUAGCCUUUAGCGACUAAUCUUAUUUUGUAUCUCUCGAUUGUCCCAUCCACUUUACAUUUUAUAUGGAGAACCCAUUUAUUUCUGAUAAUUUUACGAUUAGGCAGAAAUUCAAGCAAGUCCCAAACUUGAUUAACUUUCAUAGAUUUUAUCUCUUCUUCUAUUGCUUUCAUCUAUAAAUCCCUAGUAGACGAUGUGAGAGCUUUAUUAAAAGUAUUUGGCUCUUCACUAUCGUGUGAAGUAAUCAUAAAACUUCUCCCUCAAUUUCAAAAUGAUGACAAGGAAUUGACUUACGACUACUCUUCUAAGUCGAUUCCUUAAUUCGAAUCGAAGUGUCCGGUGUUUCACUCCCACUCAGAGUAACAAUCCCCAGAGGAUUCAUACUAAUGCCAAUAUCGACAUUAGAAGUGAUAACCCCAUUUGGAUCUUCUAAUUCAUAAAAUUGAAAAUCCUUAUCAACUUCUUCAAUGCUAGAAAAUUCAUUUUCUAAAAAACUGACAUUUGUUGCAAUUUUUCUUGUAUUAUUAGUAUCAAUAUGCAAGUGUACACAAUAAGUAAUAUAAUGAUAAAUAUUCAAGAUCGUCUCCACAGGGAUUGAUGUUAUCAGAAUUGCUAAAAUAAUCCUGAACAGUGCAGCUUGUGUUCUAAAUUUAGACUAAAUAAUUAAUGAGACUAAAUAACUAAUUAAACUAUAAAAUGUAAUAACUAAAAAGGCAAUAAAUAAAAUUCUCAUGUCAAACAUAAGAAUAAAGCCAAUGAGAAUGGAGUAGUUGAGUGAUUAAACUCUCUUAAUGGUUUUGACUGUUUCUUCUAAUCUUUGGCUCGGUUGCUACAACGUUUGAUACAGCACUAGGCAAAAUCAUAUUGUAUCCUCAACUGUCGCAUGUUGGAUGUCUUAUAUCCUUAUGCAAUCUAAUAGUGACCAAUUGUUAUGCCAACAUAAGAUAUAACAUUACACAUUUAGCUAAAAUAAUCCUGAACAGUGCAGCUUGUGUUCUAAAUUUAGACUAAAUAAUUAAUGAGACUAAAUAACUAAUUAAACUAUAAAAUGUAAUAACUAAAAAGGCAAUAAAUAAAAUUCUCAUGUCAAACAUAAGAAUAAAGCCAAUGAGAAUGGAGUAGUUGAGUGAUUAAACUCUCUUAAUGGUUUUGACUGUUUCUUCUAAUCUUUGGCUCGGUUGCUACAACGUUUGAUACAGCACUAGGCAAAAUCAUAUUGUAUCCUCAACUGUCGCAUGUUGGAUGUCUUAUAUCCUUAUGCAAUCUAAUAGUGACCAAUUGUUAUGCCAACAUAAGAUAUAACAUUACACAUUUAGGUUCUAUUUAUCCUACAAUGUGAAUUCGUAUGUCUAAUUCAUCACGAAUUUUAUAUUAGGCAUGGCCCUUUUGGAAUCAAGUAAAACUCAACUCAAGAAACCCAAUCUAAAACCAAGUAUUACUCGGAUAUGUUACAUUAAGAUAAGUCCUUUUGUAGCUCUUUCUUAGCUUGUAUCAUUAAAUGGGUGGUCAACCGAAAUAAUGAAUAUAAAUAAAUAUCAUCAAAAUAAAAUGCUAUAGCAAGCAUACAACAACACAUUUAUAUAGUCAAUGGACCAUCAAGAUUAUUUAUCACUCAACCACAAAUAAAUUUAGUUUAUAAUAUGUAAAAGAAACAUGAACAAUGGAGUUUUGGUCAGCAAAUGCAUCCUCAUGAUUAAAGAAUAAACAAGAAAACAAGAGAAGACUAAGAAAGACUAAGUUCCUGAAUGAUUUCUACAAAUUCUCCUAUGAUGCAGCCCUUAAUUUUGCUCUUGAAUUAUGUUUUUCUUUUAUUUCUUUUCGGUUUUUGUUCUUGGUCGACGGCCUCUCUCUUCCUUUGCAUGUGUGCUCUUUUUAUAGAUAAAACUUAGGGCAACUGAAAGUCUAGGGUGUGUAUCUGCCAGAUUUGAAAACUCCAUAUCUCAAUCUUUUAAGUGCCUCACAUGAAAUCUUCUCUGUCAAUGCUCUAACAUUGCUACAACAAUGUCUGCAACAUCUGCAUUGUUCCAGACUUGUUUUAAUUCUUCUACAGCCAUGUUCUUUCAUUCAUUUUGCAAGCUCAUUGCAACAACAUCUUGUCCUUGAAAUUCAAACUUCCAAUUACCCACACUUGCGUAUAUGAUUUAAGCACACGAUUAUUCGAAACCAAACAAAAUUUACUAGAAUUAAACUAAAACGGAUGUUAAUGCAAAAUAUCAUUAAAAAGUAAUAGAAAGACAUUAUUUACUCUUUAAGAAAUCUUGAUUUAAGUCUAGAAAUAUAAUGAUAACUUCAUUUCAUAGAGUCAUCAACAUCCUAUGAUUCCAGUUCAGUUAAAAAUCCACUUUCAUGUUCACCAAUGAACACAUAUCGUUUGGAGUGUUCUGAGUAUCUAAUAAAGAUACGCUUUUUGCUUCUAUCUCCUAAUUUCCCAAACUUAUGAAUGGAGUUAUAAACAUAAGCUACAGACCUCCAAGGUCACAAAUGAAAUAGGUCAGGUUUCUUAGCCGUCUAUAACUCAUAUGAGAAUAACUAACUGAUUUUGAAGGAACUAGGUUAAAUAUAUAGGCAGUAGUUAACAAUGCAUCUCCCUAAUAUGAUAUUGGAAUAUUUGAGUGUGCCAUUAUUGACCUAACCAUUUCUAAAAAAAUUAUAUUCCUUCUUUCCGCCAUGCCAUUUUGUUACAGAGUUCCAAAAAUAGUCAGUUGUCUAUUUAUUCAUUUCUCAUUACACAAGUCCUUGAACUACUUUGAAAGGUAUUCAUGUCAUCAGUCAGUCCUUAGAACUUUAACAUUACUAUCUAGUUGAUUCUCUACCAUGUUUAGAUAUAAUCUAAAGCAAUUCAAUGCUUCUGAUUUAUAAGAAAUCAAGUAGACAUGACCGAAACUUGAAUAAUCAUCAAUGAAUGUUAUAAAAUAUGAGGCUCCAUGUUUAGCCCUUACAUUCAUUGUAUCACAGAUGUCAGAAUGGAUUAAUUGUAAUGAUUUUUCAACUCUAAUUCCUUUGUCAAAUGGUUUUCUAAUUGUUUUUUCAGCUAAACAAUUCUCACAUAUGGGCAAUUCAACCUUGGUAAGUAAACUCAAUAUGCCCUUUCUCGUAAGUCUAUUCAUUCUUUUUUGCCCUAUGUGACCUAAUCAAGCAUGCCAAGUAAUAACAUCUAUCUUAUUAUUACUUAAAGAAGUAGCAUAUGAAAAACAAUUAUUAUCAUAACUUGAAUUAUCAAGUAUUGUAUCUAAUAUAAUAAAACCAUUAACGAAAUGUCAGUUCUAAUAAGGACUAAAUUUAAGAAAAUCUCCAAAAAAAAAUCAUAAAAGUUUAAAUUAUAUCCUAAUUCAAGAAGAAUGGGAACAUAAACCAAGUUUUGUCGAAUCUCUAGUGCAUAUAGGACAUCGUGUAAUAAAAGAAUACAUCCACCAUGCAAAGUCAAUUUGUAGGUGUCUAUUUCUUUUGCUUCAACUCUGGAGUUGUUGCCCAUGUAUAUCCAUCUAGUCCCUUGACUAAUUUGAUGAUACUCUACAAACGCAUUUUGAUCACGAGCUAUAUAGUCUGUUGAUCCUGAGUCUACAGUCUACAUAGGACGAGAAUCAAUUAGGAGUACAUAACUCAUAACUAACACAAAAUUUAAUAAAGUGGAGUUGGGCUCAGUGCACUCGCGAGCAAAGUGACCCGGCUCGCUACAAUUAUAGUAUUUCAUCUUAGAUUUGUCAUUGUUCUUGUCAGUGCGUCUACCCCUUGGGCGCUUCUUAGCAUCUAAAUUCCUCUUCUUAGGAUCAGAUUUCUCACCAUUCUGGUUAUAAUUAUGACCCUUUUGCACUUGAAGCUUGAAGCUUUGUGCGAAUUUGAUUCGGUCAAAUAAACACGAUCAAAAAGCUUAGUUGCCUCAAGGCGUUUUACUUCUAAUUCUAGGUGAUGUUCUAUGUCAUUGAAAGUUCUAAUACUUUCAUUGUGAGUCAUAUUCACCAUCAUGUGCACCCAAGAAUCAAGUAAAGAUCUUAUUACUUCCUGGACUUAUUGUUCAUCAGUCAAAAUAUGUUCAGCAGCCUUAAGUUCGCAAAUCAUGUUUGACAUCUCCCUUAGAUGCUGCCUCAUAAUAUGAUUUUGGCAAUUCCAAUAAGAAUCAAACUUGAUCAUCAGCCUUCUCAAUUUAGUAGUCGAAGUGCCACUGAACUUAUCUUUUAGAGCGAGCCACAUCUGUUGAGCAGUCUCUUAUAGCCUCUUCUACUAUAAUAGCAAAGUUCAUAGCAUGUAACGAGACAUCCAAUCACAGAAUAUGGCUGAGGAAUUACGUCACAGAAUUACACAUUUUAGAUGGUAUUGAUAGACCACUCAAGUUAUUAUGUGACAAUAAGUUAGCAGUGCUAUAUUCCAAUAACAAUAGGAGCUCGACGAAGUCACAGUAUAUAAACAUCAAGUUCCUAGUUGUUAAAUAAAGAAUUUAGAGUGGAAAAUUGUCUAUAAAGCAUAAUGGUACAAAAUCCAUGAUCACGGAUCCGCUUACUAAGGGAAUACCAUCUAAAAUUUUUCGUAGGCACACUGUUCAUAUAGGUGUCGUGUCAUUAAAGGAUAUUCAUUUUUAAUGGGAUUUUGUAACUUUUAAAUGUUCUUAUGAUAUAAACAUUUUUCGGUUUAGGGAUAUUUAAGGUUAUUUUCUGCAGAAAUAAAGUUUUGGUUUAUUCAUUCACACUCUAAUUUUUAUAUAAUUUGAUCUCACUAAAGUUUAAGGUGGAUCAAUUGGAAAUAGGCAUGUUAAGAUCACAUUACAUGAAAUUUCCAUCCUACACGCCCAUAUCAUGAUCUAUGUCAUUCAGCUAUAUUGGCAUAGUGCGCAUUGAUGGGUCAAGUUACGAUAGUUGUAACAAAGGUCGUUUUGAUCCUUUGUUGGUAUGAUUGAUGGACCGAAUUGACUAUAGAUACAUUUUAGUAAUGACAGUAAAAUUGAGCUCAUAUGGUUAUUUUUGCAAAGUAUAAUUAUAAGGUUACAUAUAUAGCCCAAGUGAAAGGUUGUUGGAUCUUUAAUCUAGCAUUGUUAGAUCAUUGAUCCAAUGUUGGGCUUAUAUGUGAAUAAUUAUAUGUUGUGAACUAUUAUAUAAGUUUAAGGCAAAUUAAAAAUGAUCUAUUAAAGUUUUCGAUAAUUUGGGCUUUAAUGUAUCUAAUCAAUUGUAGGCCUUUAAUGUACAGAGACUUAAGACUAUUUUCUAUUUCCAUGAUGGGUUGGAAUAAGAAUACAUAAAGACAAAAGAAAAAUUUGUUUAUAUAAGUAGUUAUUGUCCCUAGGUCACACGUAUCGUUCUAUUCUCUGUUGACAUCUCAUCAUUAGAGAGAGUGCACAGAGAAUUUUAAAGGAUUCUCUAGGAGAACAUGUUAAUUUGGAAGACAAACUACUAGACUCUAGAGACAAAUUGUGCAUUAUGAUCUUAGGUAUGCUGUCGUAUAUUCUGUUAUUGAUUUUUGGUGAUAGAACGUGUAUAUUCCUAAAUUUAGGUGAUAAUUUUCACCAAAGGAUUUAUUAUUCGUAUACUUAUUGCUUAUUUUUAGCUCCACACAAAAUUGCAAUAGCAAGGUCCCCCACGGUUUUUGUACUACACUCUUUAGUUAUCCAAAAUAAACUUAUACUAGUCUUGAACAUGUUCAAUUCUCAAGGCAUCCAGAGGAGAUUUUCCCCUAAGCUUACGAGCACACAGGUUCCUAAAGUAUUCUUCAACUGUCACUCUUUUAAACAAUAGAGGAUUAUUUUCAGAGACCAAAUUGGACGUAGGGUACAUUUCACCAUCAUAUAUCACUAAGUAAACUGUGCUAAUGGAAAGCCUUCCUUGUAUAGAGUUUACAAUUACACGAUGCUCAAUGCUACGGUAUGUCCCAUUGGUUACAAUCUGCCAUGUAAAAAUUAUUAAAGCACAUGAGCAGGCUCAUAUAAAUGCCAAGUUAAGUAAUUUACUAUAAUUAUUACCUCCAGUGUGUCUCCAAUGUCGACAAUGAAAGCAUUAGGGAGUGGAGCAACGGGAAUUAAUGAAAGCACACAUUAGCUAGCUCAUAUGAAUGUCAAGUUAAAAUAACUUAUCACCUCCAACACGACUCCAAUGUUGACAACGAAAGCAUUUGGGACAGGUGUAACAGGAAUCCACUUUCCAUCCUUCUUGAUCUGGAGACCUUCUACUUCAUUGAUUUCCAGCAGCAUGGUAAGAACAGAGUCAUCAGAAUUAGUUGUGAGGCCCACAACCUUCUCCGGCUGAGGACAUGGAGGGUAAUAGUUCAUCCCCAUUGAUUGGAAACCAUUUUCAAAGUAUUCUCUCAAUUCUUCAUCUUUGAUAUUUAGAACUUUUCCCAUUUUCGAUACCACGUUCAUGGCCAGAGAUUUUUAACUCCGCUGAAUAAAUUCCAAGAUUUCCUAUAAGAAAAAAGAAGACGCAAUUAGAAGGUUUAGUAUAUGAUUGUGGUGGAUUGUUAAGUAAGUUAUUAUUUAACAGUAUUCUUUCAAAAUCAUGUUUGAUUGUCAAAUUUUACUAAAUAUAACUGACUUGGGAUCUUUCUCUGAACAUAAUACAUUUGCAACCAUCAAAUAACUGACGAGAGAGAGAAAUCUAAGGGGUAAAGAGGGAGCUUAGGAAACAAGUGGGGUUUCCUCAGAUGAAUUGGAAGAGUUGUCAUGAAGAAAAUGUCAAUCCAAUCAACCUUUUGUUCCUCGGAUAUAACAAAUGCUUGUCCAAAUCCUUCCAUAUUUGUUAGAUUUCAAUAAACUAAUAGAAUCGCAUUUGCAUUAUACUACAUCAUAAAUUUGCUUAUAGUUCUUCGCAAGCUACCGUAAGCCUAGACAUCCGAAAGAUAUUAAAGACAAUUUAAUUUUCAAGAAUGCAGGUUUGUCUUCUCAGCUAUACAAGAAAGCAAGUUAGGUGGUCCAUAAUCGGACAAGGUCAGUUACAUCCCUCAAUUUUUUUUUUUUAAAAAAAAAGGGUGCUUAAACCGGCUUGGUUAAGACUAUCUAGACUCAAAUUUUGUUAGAGCUUUCUUAUUGCUAACUUACAGAGUAAGAAAGCAUUGAUACAGAGUAGGCCAAAUUUGUGGCCUACUUGACCUAUAAGAAUGAAACACAAUCUAAUCUGAAUUUGAUCGACUGUGCUCUUUGAUUGAGAGUAUACAGAUUUCUUAAUUCUUGACGCCAGACUACUAUUAAUAAACCAAGCAUGUCCAAAGGAAAAAAAUACAAACUUGGGUGCCUCACGGCAGGUGUAGCUUAGCUGGUUGUGAAUGUAAUUCGCAAUUUGCAGAUAUCUGCUCUCGAGUAACAAUAUGGGACAAAGGGUGGUAUUUAGUAGAUGAGGUCUCAUCCCAAGCAAAUCCUUUAAAAGCAAAAUAAUAAUAACUUGGCAAAGGAGUUUACCUGGAAAGAAGCCCAUUCUUUGCAAGCGAAGUGGAGCCUGGACAACUCAGAAUCCGUUGACUCUUCAGAAAACAAGCUCUGCAAUAGCCGUGAAUCCAAAUUAUUAUCAGAAAUUGUGGUUAAAUCUUGGCCUGGUCGUAUGUAUCUGGGAGGGAUAGCUAACAUAGAAUUAUUGGCCAACUCUUGAACACAAGGCACAGGCAGAGAACCUCCGAACUUGGCCUUCUUUUUGUUCCACAAAUUCUCUCAACAAUAAUGCUCCAGAGUUUUAUUGACAAAGCAAAUGUUGAAAAUGUAUUAUUUUCAACAAGUCAUUAUUUGCUGUGGCCUUGUGCGAGACUAAUCCACCAUUGCGGGUCUAGGGUUGGCCCAUAGAUAUUUUGUGAAUAUGACAGUUGCAGUCUGCUGUUGUAUUGCUGUCUGCUGCGAAUUAUAAAAAAGAUAGUGCAUUGUCUUCUCAAACUCUUAAGAAUUUGGAUACCAUGCUAAUUUCUUUUACAUUGUCUGAUGACAACCAAUCAAAAUCUUGUAGUUUUCUCAGCAUAAUAGCAGAUCAUCAACCGUAGUUCCAAGUUCAACUUUGAGAGAGAAUCUGAAUAUGAAAUCCAAAGUUAUAGCUUUGCAGCUUGUGUAACUAACAGCUAUUUUCAGCUAUUGAUGGCAAAAAUUUUCGUUAGUGGUAACAAGUUAUGUAUUCGUCACAAUGUGUGUUAUGGAAUGGAAUAUUUAAGACGUGGAAGGACAACAUUGUUGUUAAUAAUCAAAAACUUGUUACUAUUAACUGAAAUCUAUAACGGCUCAUACAGAAACUACACUGGUUCUGUGGUAAUAUUAUCUGUAUGUAUCAUAAAAAUUUGGAAACCAAGUCAUAUAGUCCUUGAAAUCUCAUUAAAAACAAGUCAGGUAUGCAAAAAUUCUACUUCAAGAAAGAAAGAUACUGAUCUGAUAUAAGCACCCCUAUAUAUCAUCGGAAGAUUCCAGGCAUAAGUCUGCAAUUCUUAAGAUUAUUACAUGGUCUUUUCAGUAUAUCAAAUGAUAGAGCUAUUAGAAACAGAUCGACCCUAGCAUAGCAGGUUAUUCCACAGUAUUCAUAGAACUUAUUUCUUAUUUUCAGUUCCACGCACAAUCUUAAUAGCGAGCUGCUUCAGAGUUUUUGUACCAAACUCUUUAGUUAUCCGAAUUAAACUUAUACUAGCCUUGACUAUGUUGAAUUCUCAGGGAAUCCAGCUGAGAUUUUCCCCUAAGCUCACGAGCAUACCGGCUCCUAAAGUAUUCUUCAAUUCUCACUCUUCUAAACAAAGGAGGAGUUUUUUCAGAGAUCAAACUGGGGGCAGGAUACACUUCACCAUCAUAUCUCACUGAGUAAACUGUGGCAACGGAAAGUCUUUCCUGUACAGAGUUUACAACUGCACGAUGCUCAAUGCUAGGGUAUGUCCCAUUGGUUAUAAUCUGCCAUGCAAAAAUUAUUAAAGCACAUAAGCAAGCGCAUAAAAAUGCCAGGUUAAGGUAAUUUAUUAUAAUUAUUACCUCCAAUGUGUCUCCAAUGUUGACAAUGAAAGCAUCCGGGAGUGGGGUAACAGGAAUCCACUUUCCAUCCUUCUUUAUCUGGAGACCCUCCACUUCAUUAAGUUGUCGCAGAAUGGCAAGUGCAGCUGCAUCAGAAUGAGGCGACAGGCCCAUAACCUUCUCGGGCUGAGGACAUGGAGGGUAAUAAUUCAUCCUCAUUCCUUGCAGUCCAUUUUCAAAGAAUUCUAUCAUUUCUUCAUCUUUGAUAUUUAACACUUCUCCCAUUUUCGAUAUUAGGUUCUCGGCUAGGGUUUUUAAUUCCAUUGAGUAAACUUCCAAGGUCUCUCUACAGGAAAAGAAGAUGCACUAUCCUUUAUUUGUUUGCAAAUCAAAAUGACAUUGACACAGAGAGAGAGAGAGAGAGAACCUGAGGGAAGAAGGGAGCUCAGGAAAUAAGUGUGGCUUCCUCAGAUGAACUGGAAGAGUCAUCAUGUUGAAAAGGUCAGCCCAAUCAAGCUGAAGAAAUACAGGAACGAAAUGCAGCAAAGAUUUAAUAAUCGUGCCACUUAGCUCACAAUAGUCCAGGUGUUUUAUUAAGACAGAUUGCAACUUAUCUGACUGAUUUAGAGAUAAGAUUUACCAUCAAAGAUGGCUAAAAGCAUUUGUUACAUUUAAAUCUUCUCAACAAUUAGUUUCCACAGGUGUUUUUACUCAUUCUAUCAGAGAAAUUUCGGUUAUUCUAGAAUAACUAUAAUGAGCAUGAAGUUCUUGUGGUUUGUUCACACCUAGAAUUUGAAAAAUCAUACAGCAGCAAAUAAUCUCAAUGUUACUUCAAAUUAUCUUUAAAUUAGAGUAAAUUUGCAACAUUGAAUACAGAAAUGAUACAUUUUCUAAGGGGUCUUCCACAAUUUACUAUAGUAUAUCUUUUAAAAUUUUGACAGAAGCAUAUUUCUCAUAAGGUACCAAAAGCUAUUGAGGCAGAGGAGGUGAAAUUUCUCAAGACCGUCUUUUUAAUACAUAUUGCGUGUUUGACAUUUAGGAAUGAAAUAGCUAAUUAACCCAUGUCUGGAGGGGGAAAGGUAAAGCAGUAUAGAAAAUCAAUAAUAAAUAAACCAGAGACAAGUUCUUCUUUUCACAAGCUGCAGUCCUAAGCCACUGACAACACCGAAAAGUAAAACCAUGAUCUGCUAACAUCAAUGAUACGUGGGUUUAAGAAAUAAAUAUGAAUUUUAAUUUUGCCUAUUUGAUUGAGAAUUUGCAUAGUUCUCGAUUCUUGAUCACAAACAAGCAUGUUCUGGCGAAACAAUUUUCUAAUUUUGCUAAAGCAUUAUACCUGGAAAAAACCCCAUUCUUUGCAUGCGAAGUCGAGCUUGGCUAGCUCAGAAUCCAUUGAUUCUUUAGAAAGUAAGCUUUGCAUGUCAAUAACUGGUAUCUGUGAAAUCAAAGUAUCAUCAGAAAUGAGGGGUGAAUCUUGAUCUGGACGUAUGUAUCUGUCGGGGACAACUAACGCAGGAUUCUUGACCAACUCUUGAACACAAGGCACAAGGAGAGAUCUUGCAAUCUGGGCCAUCUUUUGUUCCUCAAAUCCUUUCAAGAUUGCUGCAGCUUUGUAUUGGUUUUGGAACAAGACUGAGUGCUGACAAUCACAAAAGUAACAAGGAAUCUUUUUCCAACAAAUUAAUCAGCAUCCUCCACCUAACCAUUCAUGAAGUAUUUUUAAUUUUUUGCACAUGUUUCGAAUGCAUAAUAAAAUAUUCGCAGGUCAAAACUAUCCUCUAUAGAUAACGAUAACAAACCAUCAGCUUAAUUAUUUUAGGUUCCCACCUUGUGUCACAACCCAAAAGGUAAAGGUAUUUUCAAUACUGCGUUUUGUUUUCUUUUUCCCUUUUUAUUUUUCUUUCACAACUUGGUAUUGGUAUUGGUAUUGGUCUUGGAGCAUUGCAACCGUUUAAAAUGUAUUAUUUUGAGCUAGUCAGCAUUUGCACGACUUGUGAGAGUAAUCCACCAUUGCGGGUCUGCAGUUAAAAGGAUUUUGGUGGUUCUUGAGUAUUACUUUUUAUCUAUGCAAAUCUUGUUACAAGGGUAAUUAUCAUAAUUGAUUAAAACAUAUAUGUCAUAAGAAAUGAAUGAACAAAUAACAGUAUUCUAUGAUUACCUAAAACUUUUUCUAACACGCUGCAAUCUGGUGUUGUGUUGUAAUUGACUGUGCACUAUUAAGAAAAUAGAGGAUUUAAAUUGUAGCCAAUUAGUCAUUUAUACAUUCAUAGCUGUUUAUGUUUAGGCAUUAAUUAUCUUUAUAUUUUUCUCUGAUAACAACCAAUUAAAACCCAUAUUUUGCUUGUGAAUCGAGGUUCCACUUAUGUAAGUAACAUCUGUCUCGUUUUUAGUUAUUGAUAAUUAUUAUCACUAUUUUUUUUUUUUAAUUAUUGGUAACAAGUUACAACUUAUGUACUCAUGCAAUGUGUGCUAUGGAACAUUUAAGAUAUGUUCGAACAAUGUUGCUACAAGUAAUACAAAAUUUUUUACAAUUUAUUGCCCUGAAUAUUUUCGGUAAAAAAUUACUUAUUUUAACAACAUGCAUGCUACUGGGGAAGGUUGUAAAACACAUUAUCACAACAAUCUGCUUAAUGUGACGGAUGGUUAAGCCAAAUGACAACAUAUAACCCAAGCAUGUUGUUAUAUAUUCAACUUCAGUGACAUUGUAACAAAGUAUAUUGUUGAUAAGGAUGUAAUUGGACAUGCAAGCGUUAGAAUGGCAUGCUUAAGUAUUUCAUAUCAUAUUUGAAUCAUCUUUAACUCCAAAAGCAAGUGAAAUAGUUCUUGAAAUAUCAUAAAAACAUGACUAGCCUGCAAAAAUUCUAUUUCAAAAAUGAAAGAUACUGAUCCAAAAUAAGCACAAUUAAGGCACAAAUCUGCAAUUAUCCAAAAUAAUCUUACUAGCCUUGACCAUUUUGAAUUCUCAGGUCAUCCAGUUGAGAUUUUCCCCUAAGCUCACGAGCAUACCGGUUCCUAAAGUAUUCUUCAACUGUCACUCUUCGAAACAAUGCAGGAGUUUUUUCAGAGAUCAAACUGGAUGCUGGAUAUAUUUCACCAUCUAAUCUCUUUGUGUAAAAUGUGGCAAUGGAAAGUCUUUCUUGUAAAGAGUUUACAAUUGCACGAUGCUCAAUGCUACGGUAUGUCCCAUUGGUUAUAAUCUGCAAUGUUAAAAAUAUUAAAGCACAUGAGAAGUCAUAAAAAAUGCCAAGGAAAGUAAUCAUAAUUAUUACCUCCAAUGUGUCUCCGAUGUUGACAAUGAAAGCAUUUGGCAGCGGUGUGAUAGGAAUCCAUUUUCCAUCGUUCUUGAUCUGGAGACCUUCUACUUCAUUGAUUUGUAGCAGAAUGGUAAGAGCAGAGCCAUCAGAAUGAGGGGUGAGGCCCAUAACCUUUUCUGGUUGAGGACAUGGAGGGUAAUAGUUCAUCCUCAUUGAUUGGAAACCAUUGUCAAAGAAUUCUCUCAAUUCUUCAUCUUUGAUAUUUAAAACUUUUCCCAUUUUCGAUAUCAGGUUCAUGGCCAGAGAUUUUAACUCCAUCGAGUAAACUUCCAAGGUGUCUCUACAAGAAAAAAGAAGAUAAAGCAUUAGAUAGAAUCAUAGAAGGUUUAAUUUGCUCUUUUUGUUUGCAAAUCCAUAUCAAGCACAAACAGAGAGAACCUGAGCAAAGGAGGAAGCUUAGGAAAUAAGUGUGGC
rnacentral:lncRNA from 1 species